rnacentral:rRNA from 1 species
UUUUAUGCAGAUGCCUAUAACAUUAAUGCAUCAGAUCCCAUCAUAAAUCUGCAAUUAAGUGUGCUUGGGCUAGAGCAUUACUGGGAUGGGUGACCUUUCCGGAAUUCAUAGUGUUUUACAU